UACGUAGGGGGGCUAGCGUUGUCCGGAAUCAUUGGGCGUAAAGAGCGUGUAGGCGGUCCGGUAAGUCCGCUGUGAAAGUCGGGGGGCUCAACCCUCGGAUGCCGGUGGAUACUGUCGGGCUAGAGUGCGGGAGAGGCGAGUGGAAUUCCUGGUGUAGCGGUGAAAUGCGCAGAUAUCAGGAGGAACACCAAUUGCGAAGGCAGCUCGCUGGAACGUUACUGACGCUGAGACGCGAAAGCGUGGGGAGCAAACAGG
rnacentral:rRNA from 1 species